rnacentral:rRNA from 1 species
AUUGAACGCUGGCGGCAGGCCUAACACAUGCAAGUCGAACGAGUGGCGGACGGGUGAGUAAUGUAUGGGAAAGUGCCUGAUGGAGGGGUCUAACUACUGGAAACGGUAGAUACUACCGCAAACCAUCAGAUGUGCCCAGGUGGGAUUAGCUUGUUGGUGGGGUAACGGCUCACCAGGGCGACGAUCCCUAGCUGGUCUGAGAGGAUGACCAGCCACACUGGAACUGAGACACGGUCCAGACUCCUACGGGAGGCAGCAGUGGGGAAUAUUGCACAAUGGGCACAAGCCUGAUGCAGCCAUGCCGCGUGUAUGAAGAAGGCCUUCGGGUUGUAAAGUACUGUCAGCGGGGAGGCGUUACCCGAAGAAGAAGCACCGGCUAACUCCGUGCCAGCAGCCGCGGUAAUUC